CUACGGGGGGUGCAAGCGUUAUUCGGAUUUAUUGGGCGUAAAGAGCGCGUAGGCGGCUUGGUAAGUCAGAUGUGAAAGCCCGGGGCUCAACCCCGGAAGUGCAUUUGAAACUAUCAGGCUUGAGUAUGGGAGAGGGAAGUGGAAUUCCUGGUGUAGAGGUGAAAUUCGUAGAUAUCAGGAGGAACACCGGUGGCGAAGGCGACUUCCUGGACCAAUACUGACGCUGAGGCGCGAAGGCGUGGGGAGCAAACAGGAUUAGAUACCCCAGUAGUCC
rnacentral:rRNA from 1 species